CCCAAUACUCGGCCAAACCCAUGCCCGUCCCUGACCCGAUCCGCUCCCUAAGUAUAAGCCUAAUCCCCAAGUCCCAAAGGCAGAGAAACGACGCGUACUAUUCUCUUCUCCAAUAAACACCCGAAUCCACUUCCAAAAUUGCUAAAAUUCGGGCGAGCGAGCUCUAAUCUCACCUCACGCAUCCCCCCUUUCGCCUUAUCACCUUAUUUCUAACCGUUUCUGACAGAUUCCCUCUCCCUCACAUGCUCAUUUCGAUUUUGUUCCGAAUUUUUACCUUUUGGAUGAUAUAUGGAAAAAUGGGGGGUGUUAGAUUGGAUUCGAGUUAAUCUAGUCCUUCCAUUUGUCCCUCUUUCAUCAGAAACGAGGUGAAAAUCUAUUUUUGGGGGAGAGAAUUUUCAUUCGAGAGAUUUCUUAGAGAUAAAGGUUGAAGCUUCGAGAGCACCUGGAGGGAUACAUAAGAGGAAGGAUAUUUUCGGAUGAGGGGAAAUUUUCUGGGGAGAGAUUUCUUUUAAAAGAAAUUGAAGGAAAAAUUAGUGUGGAAAGUUUUCUUCUUAUUGUCUGUUGUUCGAUUUUUUCUUAUAUCGGAACAGAACAAAUGUUAUGGAGGUUCCUUGAUUUCAUUUGAUGUGAGUUUUGUUGAGCAUUUCGAAAGAAUAGUCUCUUCAUUUCGAUUCUGGAUUUUUGAGUAAAAAUGGAAGUCGUAUGAAAAGCUCGACGGUUGAUUUUACCUGCUAUUUGCUUCCUCUUGGUCGAUUUCAGUGUUGUACUAAUUCAGUUUCUUAAUUCCAGGUUCAUUUCUCUUCUUUAUUUUAGUUCUGUUGUAAAUCGAUCUCUGAAUGAGCUAUAAAAUGGGUUGAAUUUUGAAAUAAUAACUGAGAUUUGUGUAGUCAUCCUAGGUUCAUCUUGCUGCUCUGUUUUUUUUUCUUGUUUGUAUUAGCCUCUUCUAUGAUUUCAUAUGUGUGCUAAGGAAUGUUCAUAUGGUCCUCCAGUCUUAGAAUCCAUCGAAACAUGCAAUUGUGUGCUCGUCUGCCUCUUCUGUCAGUGUCCAGCCAUUGUCGAUUUCUUUAAUGUGUGUAAACAUUUAGGGGUUGGUUUCCAAAUGGCUUGAAGAUUAACUUUGCUCGUUUUCUUUGUCAUAGGUUGUCCGAAUUGGUUUGAUUGCUAGUCUACUGAGUUUGAAUGGCUCGUGUGUUUGUGAAGUUCUCAUGUUUGUUUGUGUAAUGGUCGCAAAUCAGUCGAGUUUGCUACUUUUGUUUAUGCACUAAUGCUGAAAAUGCGCAGACUAUCUUGGCACAUGUUUUCCAAUUUGUUUUCACCCUUGAAUGAGAUCAGAUCAUCUCAGCUCUCAAACAUUUUUUAGUUAGAGGGAGAAAAUUUGGUAGUGCCCUGCUUCUCAACAUAUUAUGUGCAAAUUUUAUUACAAAGGCUGGAUAUUGGGAUGUCUUUCGUGCUUGAUCCCCUUGCUAUGCAAACUUCUGAGCUUUGAAAUUCAUCUGAACCAAGUAUUGAAAACAUGAAGAUUAAGCUGAAGAACACGAAGAAUAUAGUGAGAGAAGAAGAGAGAGAAAGAGGGUAGUUGAGAGAACUCUCCAGAAGAUCGAGAGA
rnacentral:lncRNA from 1 species